GGUGAUGAGGUGAGCGUGUAUUUGGAUGGGUCUCCGAUGGGUUAAGGUGACUAGGUGAGCAUUGAUGGUGCAAUGCUCAUGACAUUGGCGUGAUGCGAUGUGAUAUGUCUUUCUCUAGUGGUGCGAUUCAACGAUGCUUUGGAGUCUUGAGGAGAGAUGCGGUCUGUGGGAGACAAAGCUGAGAUGGAAUCGUGGAGGUGGAG
rnacentral:misc_RNA from 1 species